UACGUAGGGUGCAAGCGUUGUCCGGAAUUAUUGGGCGUAAAGAGCUCGUAGGCGGUUUGUCGCGUCUGCUGUGAAAACCCGAGGCUCAACCUCGGGCCUGCAGUGGGUACGGGCAGACUAGAGUGCGGUAGGGGAGAUUGGAAUUCCUGGUGUAGCGGUGGAAUGCGCAGAUAUCAGGAGGAACACCGGUGGCGAAGGCGGCUCUCUGGACGGAUACUGACGCUGAGGCGCGAAAGCGUGGGGAGCGAACAGG
rnacentral:rRNA from 1 species